GGGGAUCCCAAGUGCACAGGCAUAGCGCCUGUGCUUUUCGGUACCCUAAGGCGGUACCAGAAUAAGGGCUGGGCAAGACCGGUGCCAGCCGCCGCGGUAAUACCGGCAGCCCAAGUGAUGGCCGACCUUAUUGGGCCUAAAGCGUCCGUAGCUGGCCGCGCAAGUCCAUCGGGAAAUCCACCUGCUCAACAGGUGGGCGCCCGGUAGAAACUGCGUGGCUUGGGACCGGAAGGCGCGACGGGUACGUCCGGGGUAGGAGUGAAAUCCCGUAAUCCUGGACGGACCGCCGAUGGCGAAAGCACGUCGCGAGAACGGAUCCGACAGUGAGGGACGAAAGCCAGGGUCUCGAACCGGAUUAGAUACCCGGGUAGUCCUGGCCGUAAACAAUGUCUGCUAGGUGUGGCUCCCACUACGAGUGGGUGCUGUGCCGUAGGGAAGCCGCUAAGCAGACCGCCUGGGAAGUACGUCCGCAAGGAUGAAACUUAAAGGAAUUGGCGGGGGAGCACUACAACCGGAGGAGCCUGCGGUUUAAUUGGACUCAACGCCGGACAUCUCACCAGCAUCGACUGUAAUAAUGACGAUCAGGUUGAUGACCUUAUCCGAGUUUCAGAGAGGAGGUGCAUGGCCGCCGUCAGCUCGUACCGUGAGGCGUCCUGUUAAGUCAGGCAACGAGCGAGACCCGCAUCCUUACUUGCCAGCAGUAUCGCGAGAUAGCUGGGGACAGUAGGGAGACCGCCGUGGCUAACACGGAGGAAGGAACGGGCAACGGUAGGUCAGUAUGCCCCGAAUGUGCUGGGCAACACGCGGGCUACAAUGGUCGAGACAAAGGGUUCCAACUCCGAAAGGAGACGGUAAUCUCAGAAACUCGAUCGUAGUUCGGAUUGUGGGCUGCAACUCGCCCACAUGAAGCUGGAUUCGGUAGUAAUCGCGUGUCAC
rnacentral:rRNA from 1 species